AUUGUCCUCAUUUGCAUGAAUUCUCAUCUCAUUUGCAUGUAUCCCUGGGCAACUCUGACGUCAUCAAGUAACCUAACCCGGAAGCACAAGUUCUCGACAGUAACUUCAGGUCAGAGAAAACUGUGAGCUGACCCAACGACAACGAAGUUUCAAUCAGGGUUCUUACUUCCGUUUCUGUCUGUACUUUGUAGUACAGCGCCGGAUCCAAACAUUUGCUUGAUUUUAUUUGUAAGCAUUGUCUAAGGAGAGUAGAAAUACUGUAUCAGCUAUAAGAUGUGCCAGGAAGUUGUAAAUUACUCUAUGUUAACAGGUUGAUCGCUGCACUGCACUGUGCCCCUCGAUUACACAAUACAAAGGUAACGUACUAUAAAUAGCGUCAGAUGAGAGGACCCGCUCUUGUGGUGACGUCAGUGUGCUGUCAGACCAUUGUCUUAGGUUUACUUGCUCCCCUGCAAUGAUCUGAUAAGAUGAACAUGAGAGUCAACAGUGCUCAUUGACUGAACUGUGUGGAAUCCUUUGGGGUUACGCUGCCUGUGAGUCUGUGUAAUGUAUUUGUCACAUUUCCGAAUAAAUAAAUAAACAUCUAGAAA